UGCGCAGGCGGGCUUGUAAGUCAGUGGUGAAAUACUGCCGCUUAACGGUAGAACUGCCAUUGAUACUGCAAGUCUUGAAUAUGGUUGAGGUAGGCGGAAUGUGUCGUGUAGCGGUGAAAUGCAUAGAUAUGACACAGAACGCCGAUUGCGAAGGCAGCUUACUAAGCCAUUAUUGACGCUGAGGCACGAAAGCGUGGGGGGCGAACAGGAUUAGAUACCCUGGUAGUCC
rnacentral:rRNA from 1 species